AUGGCAACUCAGAGCGCCUGUCCGCUGUGUGGAUGCCAAGAUUCGUGGAGACAUGCCCUCUUGUCAUGCACUAUGUCGAGGUGCAUUUGGGCCUUGAUGGGUGAAACUCUUGUGUCAAAGAUGACGGAAAACAUGGAGCCAAGUGUGAAAAACUGACUGUUUGAACUUCAUGAUGCACUAGAUCAUGCGAGUUUCACGAGAAUGGUCGUCACACUGUGGGUUGUGUGGUAUGCAAGGUGCAAGCCGAGAGUGCAGGUACUGGCUGUACCAGGGCAGCAACGCCGAUGGAUCCCACCUCCAGCUGGUUUUAAUAAGAUCAGUGCGGAUGGUGCACUAGCAAGGAAUAGCCGAGUGGGAGUGGCUGCUGCAGUCUGUUGACAUUCAAAUGGCAAUUUUCUUGGCUCGUCAGCAGUUGUCUUUCGAGGAAUCAGAGACCCUAUGAUUCUGGAGACGUACGCUUGUUGGGAGGCUCUAUCUUUGGCGGAGGAUUUGUACGAGCAAAAUAUCAUGGUAGCCUCAGAUUGUCAAGGUGUGGUGCAAGAUAUCAACGAAGGGACAUGA
rnacentral:rRNA from 1 species